ensembl:lncRNA
GGCAGUGUGAAUGUAGCACAUUUGUGUUAGCACCUUCAAUCACCAUUUCCUGGCAGUAAAAUGUGUUAUGGUGUCCCUGUUUGGUGUCUGAAGCUGUCUUUGAGUAUUAAUCAGACAGACCCGCUGAGUCAGCCAUCGAGAGAGCCAGCCUUCAGUACAUUUUCCCGCACUCUUUGUGUUUGGUUUUUUUUUUUUUUUUCUUUCUGAGGUAUUGGAACAGCUAAGGGGACUUCCACGGUAUGAACCUCCAUUAACAAUGCUGCAGAGUUCGGAUCAACCACGAUUCGAAACCACAGACGUGUCCUGCAGCCAUGAGGAGCAGUGGAGAUCGCUAAGAAGUAUCAUAAACACAGACUCGUACCACUUCUUGCUGUCGACGCGAACGAGAAAGGCAGUGACGGAAGAGGGUAGAAAACCAACACAGCCGUAAACGACAGUCUUUCGAGAGCCGAUAACGAAAGUACCCUUGCACUUGAAGUAAAUCAUCAUUACUAUCGUACGUGUUUUGUUUACCGUGUGUGCGUGAGGAGUAAGGUGGAGUGCUUAGCGUGUCAUUACAUUAUCAAAUGAACUCAUCAUCUCUUAGCUGCCAGCCAUCAUUCAUGACUAAGAUGAUGUAAUUGCCAUCAUUAGUGUUUACUCGCGCUGUGUGCGGUCUCGCACUGAAGCAGGUGAGACUAAUGAGUAAGUGAG